GCGUUGUUCGGAUUCAUUGGGCGUAAAGGGUGCGUAGGUGGCGGGGUAAGUCAGGUGUGAAAUUUCGGAGCUCAACUCCGAAACUGCAUUUGAUACUGCCUUGCUUGAGGACUGGAGAGGAGACUGGAAUUUACGGUGUAGCAGUGAAGUGCGUAGAGAUCGUAAGGAAGACCAGUGGCGAAGGCGGGUCUCUGGACAGUUCCUGACACUGAGGCACGAGGCCAGG
rnacentral:rRNA from 1 species